AAUUAAUGCAUAGUUUUAGUUAAUUAUUGAAAUAUAAAAUAAAAAAAUAUCCAUAUAAAAAUCAGGCCGGUUCUCCAGCUCACUAGUUAAACUAUCAAUCUGAACAGGUCAAAACAGAUUUUAAGCCAAUCUGAUUUUGGCUUUGUUUGGGAUUGCGGAGAGAUUGCAUUACGUGCGGUGAGAAAGUACGUUGGAAAAAUACUCUAUUUGUUUCUGUACGUAAUAUUGCGUUCCGCAUUGCGUUCCGCAUAUCGCGAUGAGUCGUAACUGCGGUCCUACCGAAGAACGCAGAAGCAUAUCCCUAUAUACUUUUUCCUCAACUCCAUUUUAUCUAAUAGCGUUAGAUAGCUCUCAUAGCCAAAUAGUUUCUCAUUUUCGCAAGUGAAAAGCUGAAAAGGAGAAAAUUGAAGGAUAAUGACCGCAUCUCUUUUAGAAAAGGAAGAUGCUUUCGAUUUAUAAUGUAUAUAUAUUAUUCAUGUUAGCUUAUCAAUAAUAUAUAAAGAUAAUAUAUUGAAAGAUUCACUCUAGAUUUCUUUUUUGAGAAAAUGUAAUGCAUCUAUUUUUUUAGUCUCAGAAUUAAAGAACAUAUUGCUUACACACCCUGUAUCCGUACGAUGAACUAUAUAUUUUUCUCUUCUUCAUCUUAUCUCCAAUGUUAAUAUUAUCUCUCAAUAAAUUAUGUUAAACUUCAUAAAAAUUAAGAUUGUACUUUCUACCAUAAUUUCGAUUUUUAUAUCCGGAUUGUAGACGGCGAUUUUUACUCAUUAUUCGUUCUCGUUCACGAUCUGCAAAAGAGCGGGACGUUUGGAAUCUAAUUUUCUUAUCCCGUAUAUUAUAUAUUUGUAUAUAACUUGAUGUAACAAUGUCAAAUCACGUCCAUCUAUUAAAAACAUGUCUAGAUACAUUCUAACCGUUAGAUCUACCGUAUCUUUAUACAUCGACUUAAAUAGACCGACUAUAUCUUUAUAAAUCGUCUUGAAUAAAUCAUGUGGGACACAUCUAGGGGUGUAAUGUGGGCCUUGCCGGGCCGG
rnacentral:lncRNA from 1 species